UGAGGAAGGUGGAACUUGAGCCUGGUC
rnacentral:piRNA from 1 species